rnacentral:ribozyme from 13 species
GAAAGAGAGAGAAAAGAGAAGAGAAAGAGAAAGAAAGAGAAAGAAAGGCAUUUUCAGUUUUCUUCUUUCUUAGUUCGAUCUUUCUUUUUCUUUUUCUUUUUCAUUCUCUGUCUUU